AGUACCAUAAUGGCUGUGGUUAACAGAUGUCUGAAGGUCCUCUUCAUUGGAAUAAAUAUAAUACACAUAAUUUUAGCUGGUGUGGUUUAUACACUAGCUGUUCUGCUGGGCUACAACACCCAGGGACAAGAUGUGGGGCUUGUACUGAUAGCAAUGUGGCUACUGGGUUCAGGAGUCUUGGUGGUGGCUAGCCUUGGUAUCCAUGGUGCCAGAAAAGAGAAGAAGUGGCCCCUGAUCUCGUUUAUUACAGUAAAUGCGAUUUGUCUGACGAUAAUGCUAAUGCAUGUUGCACAGUUUGCCAAAGCAAAAAUACUGUUGAGCCAGUUGAUCGACAACGUGCCAAAUGAAGCUUGGAUUCUCGAUGCUGGAUUAACUGUCAGCCUUAGCCUUGCUGCCUUAUGUUUCACCGGGAUUACCCUGGCAGCCAUGAUCAUGGUUCAGCUCCACAGCCGGCAGCCUGCCAUGACAGAUGUUGAGGGUGAACCCCCAAGAUACUCACAGAUGUGCCCAAUGAGCAGCAAGUCAGCGGAGAGCUGGACAUACAGGAUUCUCCCAAAUCACCACACAGCUAAUGACACAAAAUAAAGAAAUACACAUGACUAAGAAUUAGGUCAAAAUGUCUGUGAUGCAUCUGAAAAAUGUCUGCCUCUCUCUGUCAUGCACUCUCUCUCACACACACUCUCUCACAACAAACACACACACAUAAGGGCACAUAUUAAAGAAAUGCACAUGACUAAGAAUUAAGUCAAAAUGUCUGUGAUGUAUCUGAAAAAUCUCUGCCUCUCUCUCUGUCAUGCACUCACUCUCUCUCACACAACAAACACACACACACACACACACACAUAAUGGCACAUAUUAAAGAAAUACAUAUGAAUA
ensembl:lncRNA